CCGUUCCUUCAGUAGGAUAGCCUACUGUAGUGAUUCAAAGUGUGAUUUUAGCAAACGAAACGAGUGCUUUUGUUUUGAAAUCACUUCCGUGAGUUUCGCCCCAACCCUCGCUCCAAGGACCAUUUGACCAUUUAGUAAGGUGCAGAGCCAUAUAAUAGAAGAGUUACGACAAGGGAAGUCCAAAAACGGUUAUGUCAUGUGGUUCAUGUAGACGAGGAUCGUUCCCCGGAAGUUCAUGGCGGGCAAUGUGAAUGCAUCUAGCCAUAGAUAUAUAUAAACACUAGAUGGCUCAUGGGAGAUUUUCCAGCGUAGCUGACCGGCCGCCAUCUUGCUACAGUCAACAGUUACUCUGAUUUGCGCUAUGGUAGCUGUUGUAAGAAGUACCUGACUAUGCCGGACUUUUGUGCAGCCUACGGCUGCUCUAAUCACCGCAGUCUGCAAACAAGAACCCGUGGGAUCACCUUUCACCUGUUUAAGGCAGUGGGAACUCGCCCUAAGAAGAGACGGUUUUGUUUCCUGUGACAGGACACUGCUCUGCAGUGAGCACUUCAGGAGUGAGGAAUUUGACCGGACAGGGCAGACUAAUGGCGAAUCGCUACCACUAGGAGCAUAUAUCGCCACCUACUAUGUAUUUAUUAAAUCUUCAUGUUCCAUGAGACGCAGCACUAUGUUCCCCACAUAUGUUUAUGUUUGCUCAGUCUAAUAAACCCAUAACAUGGUUGUGAAAGAAUACCAAA